rnacentral:lncRNA from 1 species
CACAUAGAAACGAAAAUGGCGAUCUCCACCGCGAUUCUUCCACGAUCUCCGCCGUAAUUCUUCUUCGAUCUCCGCCGUGCUUUUUUCAGGUUGUUCAAGAAUUUCAAGUAGUAUGAAGAAUUUCAAGGAUUUUAUGAAUGCGAGGAUUCCAUGUUCGACUAUGGCAGUUUCUAUGAUGCAUUACAUUUACUUUAAUGUCUUUGCUUUCUAUCCUUAACUACCAAAAUAUGCCUAUUUUCUUCCAUGGAUAAUAAUUUAUGCUCUCUACUUUUGCAUGGAUGUUUUUGUGGCAUUUGUCUAUUAUGGAUAUUGAUUUA